UAUCUCUGUAGAGUCUGCAUAUCAAUAAGCGGAGGAAAAGAAACUAACUAGGAUUCCCUCAGUAACGGCGAGUGAAGCGGGAAGAGCUCAAAUUUGAAAUCUUCAAGGUUUACCUUGACGAAUUGUAGUUUAAAGAAGUGUUUUCUGUUGGAUGUUUUGGUAAAAGUUCUUUGGAAUAGGACAUCAUAGAGGGUGAGAAUCCCGUAUUUGACCAUUAUUUCCAGCUUUGUGAUACACUUUCAAAGAGUCGGAUUGUUUGGGAAUGCAGUCCAAAAUGGGUGGUAAAUUUCAUCUAAAGCUAAAUACUGGCGAGAGACCGAUAGCGAACAAGUACCGUGAGGGAAAGAUGAAAAGAACUUUGAAAGAGAGUUAAACAGUACGUGAAAUUGUCAAAAGGGAAGCGUUUGACACCAGUGUUGUUUUCUCGAAAAUCAAUUAAAAAAGGCAGGAUUUUGUGUUGUAUUGACUUUAUCAGCUUUCUGCACUCUUUUCUUGUCUUUUUUAAUGCACUUUUCGUUUAACAAGUCAACAUCAAUUUCUUUUGUUGUAAAAGAGUCAUUGGAAGGUGGCUUUCUUUUCGGAGAAAGUGUUUAUAGCCUUUGGCCUCUGCAAUCGGAGAGAUUGAGGUCUGCAGCGUAGAUCCUUCGGGGUUAGAUACAUUUGUGCUAAGUUAUAGCCUUUCAUAGACAACUUGUUGACUAUGAUCAGUCAUGUAGCUUACUCGCUUAUGCUAUUUUACCUACGCUUAGGAUGUUGACGAUCAGCUGAGCGCG
rnacentral:rRNA from 1 species